GACGUAGGGCGCGAGCGUUGUCCGGAAUCACUGGGCGUAAAGCGCGCGCAGGCGGCGAUCUACGUCUGGGGUGAAAGCCCGGAGCUCAACUCCGGGACUGCCUUGGAUACGGGAUCGCUUGAGGAUUGGAGAGGCAAGGGGAAUUCCACGUGUAGCGGUGAAAUGCGUAGAUAUCUGGAGGAAUACCGGUGGCGAAGGCGGCGAUCCUAGACCAUUACUGACGCUGAACUCGCGAAAGCUAGGGGAGCAAACGGG
rnacentral:rRNA from 1 species